GAUACCACCAAACACACUGCUAAAUGUCCAGCCCAUUCUUUCUGUGACUUCAAUAACUCUCCCUCUCUCUCGCUCUCUCGAGCUUUCAAUAGAAGCUCGCUGCCUUAUGAUCGAUGCCUCCAACGAGAGACAAGAAAAGGGAGAAGAGGAGAAGGCUUGGCUUCUUCUGCUUGGUGACAGUACUAUACGCCAUCUUCGUCUGCUUCGCCUGUGGCUACCCAGCAGUCGCGACUCCAAUACUUGGUCCGAGGAUCGGCACCGAAGGAGCACGGGAGAAGAUGACUAUGAUAGGGAGAAGACCGACGCCGCCGGAAACGACUUCCAGCGUCCAUGAAAGCAAGCGAAGAGUGCCAACUUGCCCCGAUCCCCUUCACAACAAGUGACACUUGGUUCUUCUCUUUAAUUACUUUUUACUGUGAAGGACGCAACUCGGACACGACAUUACAUUCGCUUUUUUGCAUUUAUGAUAUCGGUGCUUGACCUUACUCGGACUCGUCACAUGAUCACAAGCAUAGAGCACCAUAUGUUCAUAUAUACCUACAGCAAUUAGCUGCAAGCGCAGAGCAGAGCGUCGUCCCAAGUUUCAAGGAGGGGGGAGGGAAAGCCCUAUCUAAGGUUCAUGGCACUGUUUGAAAGGUAGGAAGGUUCUUCGCGGAAGGUAUCUACUCACUGUCACAUGAUGACUAAAAGGGAGCAAGUUGGUCCUCCUCCUUGUCGCCACUUCGCCUCCGAUACCUUUCAAGACUACUACAAGAUUAGGUUUUCUUUAAGCUCUUCGCCAUGUGAAACCGUUAUGUGAUUUUGUUAUUCUUAAGUGGUCUUGGGCUAAUUCUUGGGCUGCGUUCGAGCCCAUCUCUACUUUAGGGCCGAGUUGUCGGCGAGCGUUGCAUAAAAACCCUAUCGCCGCCUCUCCCUUCCUACCGUCUCCAUCGUUUCGCUCUACGAGGAGAAGCGGCGCGGCGGCUGAGUAAAACGCAUUCUCGCCUCUUCUACCUAUUUUAUGCGAUGCCCGAAUUGGGGAAGGAUUCGCGCCCAGAGAUGGUUGUCAGCAGGCAAAUCAAAAGCACAAUUGGCUGGAUAUUGCCAUGCAAUUACAUCUUGCACACUUACUGACAUGAUGAGAAUUCAAGCAGCAGUCACUCACUUCUCCCAAUUUACAACGCCGUGAAGUGCUGCGCUGUUUGAAGAGGGGAAUGUUGCGGAUGCAGAUGGAAUCAGCUUCAUCGCACCCAAGAUAGAGAGUUUGCAAAUCAUAUAUCCUGUCCAUAACGAGAUCUGCCGAUCGAUCAGCUAAACGAAUCGAAGAUAUCAAAGUUCUACCUUGCGCAGCCAAAGUGCCACCAUCUAAGCAGGAGAAAAGCCCCAAAGUCUGAUUGUGCCAUCCUUGUAUCCAGAAUACAGCGUGAGGCCAUUAGUGCUCCAGGUUAAGCUGGUGCAGAAGGGUCUCUGCCAGCAUCGCGCCAUCAAAAAGAAAGCCAUUAGAUGCAGCAACAGUGAACACUUGUCUGUAGAUCAAGAUGAAUUACCAUCACUAGAUUUUUAAUGUUCAGAUGGUCAAUUCUGCAAUCUAAUUUAUAUUUUCUUGAUCUA